GACGAACGCUGGCGGCGUGCUUAACACAUGCAAGUCGAACGAUGAAGCCGGAGCUUGCUCCGGUGGAUUAGCGGCGAACGGGUGAGUAACACGUGAGCAAUCUGCCCUUGACUCUGGGAUAACUGCGGGAAACUGUAGCUAAUACCGGAUACGACGCCUUGGGGCAUCCCAGGGUGUGGGAAGAAUUUCGGUCAAGGAUGAGCUCGCGGCCUAUCAGCUAGUUGGUGAGGUAAUGGCUCACCAAGGCGACGACGGGUAGCCGGCCUGAGAGGGUGGCCGGCCACACUGGAACUGAGACACGGUCCAGACUCCUACGGGAGGCAGCAGUGGGGAAUAUUGCACAAUGGGCGAAAGCCUGAUGCAGCAACGCCGCGUGAGGGAUGAAGGCCUUCGGGUUGUAAACCUCUUUUAGCAGGGAAGAAGCGAAAGUGACGGUACCUGCAGAAAAAGCACCGGCUAACUACGUGCCAGCAGCCGCGGUAA
rnacentral:rRNA from 1 species